rnacentral:rRNA from 1 species
CGCGCAGGCGGCCAGGUAAGUCGAAUGUGAAAGCCCCCGGCUCAACUGGGGAGGGUCAUUCGAUACUGCUUGGCUUGAAGGUAGGAGAGGGAAGCGGAAUUUCAGGUGUAGUGGUGAAAUGCGUAGAUAUUAGGAAGAACACCAGUGGCGAAGGCGAGUCUCUGGCACGGUUCUGACGCUGAGGCGCGAAAGCUAGGGGAGCGAACG